GGCAUCGAACGUGGAUUGGAUGAGCAUGGUGAAACCCUAUCAACCAAUCCCCCACGCUCCUCGAGCCCCGCGCCCCUCCUCCCCCGUUCUCCACUACCCCGCUCCCCUGUGCAGCCGUCGUCUCCCCAUCUCGCCAGAGCCACUGGUCCGGGAGUCUUUCCCAGCCCUCCGAGGAGCCUAUCCCAUCCUCACACUGAAGUUGAACAAAAGGAGGGGAGAGAUCAACGAUGGCGCAAGAUUGAGGAGAGAGCGAGCCAUCGAAGAGGGGAAGAGAGACAAAGGUGGGCGGAGGCUUGUAGCAUUAGGCGGCCACAUCCAGCAAGGGUGGGGUUCUGUGGAUCCGGCGCCCCCAUCCCAGCGCAUGUGGAGCCUGUCUACAGAAUGGGGUGAAGAAUGCAAGGAAGUUGCACAUUGUCUCUCAUCACCCGACCAAGGGUAGUUUGUCCAUUCCAGGUUUGACUGACAGAGGAAGUCAAUCGAGGAGUAUGUUGACACCAGAGUCCAAGACCAUGGGUGAAGCAUUUUAAUCAAUCUAUUGUUUUGGUUUUAAGGUGAAAAGCUGGAGAAGUUGUGACGGCGAUGAAAGGACUGAAAGAUUUGCUCGAAGCAAAGCUAUCUAGCCGAGAUACAUAUGCAACAAAGAGGAGGGAUCUUAUGUAGAAUAUGCGACAUCCAUGAUGCUGAAGGUGUGCUAUUAAGUCUCAGUUGCUCCAGCAAAAUAGCAUCUUAAUAAACAAAGGAUAUGCACCGCCAAGAAGUUUGUUGUGUAUUUUUCCCUUCCAACCUUAUUGAUAUGCCUGAUGCUCAAGGUGUUUUUACUUGUUUACCUGAUUAACAAAUGAAUAUAAAUUUAACAGGUUAAUAAAUUUAGCAUGGUCCUUGCUGAAAUCUGAAUUAUUAUAUGCUGACUUUCCUUUGAAUAAUAUAAUUUGGUCUUGUUGCCGCAAAUGAUUGGAUACGCUAAAUUAUUUUUCAUGCAUACAAGUUGACAUGGUUAUUCUGUAAUACAUUAUUACGUUUAGUUAAAAAAUAUGUUAUGUAAUUCAGAUAGGAAACAAUGGUAUGUGAUAAUGCCCUUGCUUCUGAUAGAGCCUCUUUUUUUAGUCAUUCAUAGAUGUGUGGGAGGGCUGGCC